GAUAAACGCUAGCGGCAGGCUUAACACAUGCAAGUCGAGGGGCAGCAUAGAUUGUAGCAAUACAAUUGGUGGCGACCGGCGCACGGGUGCGUAACGCGUAUGCAACCUACCCGUCACAGGGGGAUAAUCCGGAGAAAUCUGGUCUAAUACCCCAUAACAUAUGGAUCGGCAUCGGUUCAUGUUGAAAUUUUCGGAGGUGACGGAUGGGCAUGCGUAGCAUUAGCUUGUUGGUGAGGUAACGGCUCACCAAGGCGACGAUGCUUAGGGGGACUGAGAGGUCUUCCCCCCACACAGGUACUGAGACACGGACCAGACUCCUACGGGAGGCAGCAGUGAGGAAUAUUGGUCAAUGGGCGCAAGCCUGAACCAGCCAUGCCGCGUGCAGGAUGACGGCUCUAUGAGUUGUAAACUGCUUUUGUACGAGGGUAAAGUGGGUUACGUGUAACCUUUUGAAAGUAUCAUACGAAUAAGGAUCGGCUAACUCCGUGCCAGCCGCCGCGGUAA
rnacentral:rRNA from 1 species